rnacentral:tRNA from 1 species
GCCUGGGUGGCUCAGUUGGUUGAGCAUCUGACUUUGGCUCAGGUCAUGAUCUUACAGUUUGUGGGUUCGAGCCCCGAGUCGGGCU